rnacentral:rRNA from 1 species
CCUACGGGUGGCAGCAGUGAGGAAUAUUGGUCAAUGGACGCAAGUCUGAACCAGCCAUGCCGCGUGCAGGAAGACGGCUCUAUGAGUUGUAAACUGCUUUUGUACGAGGGUAAACGCAGAUACGCGUAUCUGUCUGAAAGUAUCGUACGAAUAAGGAUCGGCUAACUCCGUGCCAGCAGCCGCGGUAAUACGGAGGAUUUAAGCGUUAUCCGGAUUUAUUGGGUUUAAAGGGUGCGUAGGCGGUCGGAUAAGUUAGCGGUGAAAUCCCGGGGCUCAACGUCGGAAUUGCCGUUGAUACUGUUAGGCUAGAGAGUAGUUGCGGUAGGCGGAAUGUAUGGUGUAGCGGUGAAAUGCUUAGAGAUCAUACAGAACACCGAUUGCGAAGGCAGCUGGCCAAGCUACUUCUGACGUUGAGGCACGAAAGCGUGGGGAGCGAACAGGAUUAGAUACCCCGGUAGUC